rnacentral:rRNA from 1 species
UACGUAGGGUGCGAGCGUUAAUCGGAAUUACUGGGCGUAAAGCGUGCGCAGGCGGUCUCGCAAGUCCGAUGUGAAAUCCCCGGGCUUAACCUGGGAAUUGCGCUUGAAACUAGCGGGCUUGAGUGUGGCAGAGGGGGGUGGAAUUCCACGUGUAGCAGUGAAAUGCGUAGAGAUGUGGAGGAACACCGAUGGCGAAGGCAGCCCCCUGGGUCAACACUGACGCUCAUGCACGAAAGCGUGGGGAGCAAACAGG